rnacentral:misc_RNA from 1 species
AGCCGCUACAGUUUUCUUGGAGCCCAAGCAGUAGGAACCCGCGAAACAGGUGAUGAAAAUCCUUUCCUUUCCGUAACCUCCUUUUCUAGCUGGUUUCCGUCCCUCAUAUAAGCUUCGAUGGAGACUCCUCUAAAACCCGCGUAGAGAAGGUCAAUCUUAGAAGAAGAAGAGAUAAACCCUAACGUGAAGAAGAAGAUGAACCACUUGGUAGUCAGGUCGGUGGUGCGAGGCUUCCUGGUCAAUGGAGCUCGUGGCGGCAGGUACUUUUCGACGGCAACGGCAGUAAAGACGUCUGGUGUUUUGAAGCCGAUGGACGUUUGGA